rnacentral:tRNA from 1 species
GGAGAGGUGGCUGAAUGGUAAAAGCGCUGGUUUGCUAAAUCAGUUUGGGGAAACCCAUUGCAGGUUCGAGUCCUGUCCUCUCCG